AGUAACACCUUAUGUGUGUGUUCAACUGGUGACAAAGUCAUGAAAGGCACAAAAAAAAUUCUCUUUUACUUAUUCCAAGAACUCAUUGUUCAGUAUGAAUUUUGAUGCAUACAAGAAGGAAUAUG
ensembl:snoRNA